UACGGAAGGCAGCAGUGGGGAAUAUUGCACAAUGGGCGCAAGCCUGAUGCAGCCAUGCCGCGUGUAUGAAAAAGGCCUUCGGGUUGUAAAGUACUUUCAGUCGUGAGGAAGGUGUUAAGGUUAAUAACCUUAGCAAUUGACGUUAGCGACAGAAGAAGCACCGGCUAACUCCGUGCCAGCAGCCGCGGUAAUACGGAGGGUGCGAGCGUUAAUCGGAAUUACUGGGCGUAAAGGGCACGCAGGCGGUUAAUUAAGUUGGAUGUGAAAUCCCCGGGCUUAACCUGGGAAUGGCAUUCAAGACUGGUUAGCUAGAGUCUUGUAGAGGGGGUAGAAUUCCAUGUGUAGCGGUGAAAUGCGUAGAGAUGUGGAGGAAUACCGGUGGCGAAGGCGGCCCCUGGACAAGACUGACGCUCAUGUGCGAAAGCGUGGGGAGCAAAC
rnacentral:rRNA from 1 species